rnacentral:rRNA from 1 species
AACGAACGCUGGCGGCAUGCCUAACACAUGCCAGUCGAACGAGACCUUCGGGUCUAGUGGCGCACGGGUGCGUAACGCGUGGGAACCUGCCCUUAGGUUCGGAAUCACUCCCCGAAAGGGGUGCUAAUACCGGAUAAUGUCUUCGGACCAAAGAUUUAUCGCCUUUGGAUGGGCCCGCGUUGGAUUAGCUAGUUGGUAGGGUAAAAGCCUACCAAGGCGACGAUCCAUAGCUGGUCUGAGAGGAUGAUCAGACACACUGGGACUGAGACACGGCCCAGACUCCUACGGGAGGCAGCAGUGGGUAAUAGUGGACAAUGGGCGAAAGCCUGAUCCAGCAAUGCCGCGUGAGUGAUGAAGUCCUUAGGGUUGUAAAGCGCUUGUACCCGGGAUGAUAAUGACAGUACCGGGAGAAUAAGCACCGGCUAACUCCGUG